rnacentral:lncRNA from 1 species
ACAUAUAUACAUAGAUAUAUAUAUGGUAGGGAGAAGAGAAAAACAUGGAGAAGAAAAUAUAGGUUUCGUGAAUGUGUGCUCUAGAGUUUUUUGUGUGAACAAAUAUUCAGAUCAUAGUAUAGUCCUGUGUGGCAAGAGACCUUCGUGACUCCAUUGAAGACCUUCGUGGCUUCAAGUCCUUCGUGGCAUUUCGAGACCUUCGUGGCUCCAUUCAAGACCUUCGUGGCUUCAAGUCCUUCGUGGCAUUUCAAGACCUUCGUGGCUUCAACGACCUCCGUGGCGUUAUCAUCCUUCGUGGCAACAAAGACCUUUGUGGCUUUGUAUUACACUUGACCGUGUUCUUCAAGUGUGAAGUAAUUUUACUUUUGAGAAUAUAUUACUUUUGAUCAUGUGUUGUCAAGUAAUUGUAAUCUUCUAUUCAAUAGUAAAGUAAAGUUCUUCUAUAUAAUCCGCUGCUUAUCUCAUAAUCGUUCUAUCUAGUAUUUUCACCUAUAAACUUAAUUAUUCUCUACAGCAAGAAUAUAGUGAAGUCACUCAUGAAUUUGCAAAAUGGAGGUUCAAUUACUCCGUCAUACCCUUUGGCCAGAGGUAUGAAGAGUAAUCUCUUUGUUGUGAAUUACACGUUGGAGGUUGUGAGUAUUGUCAAUUUCAAUUUGAGAAUUUGAGUUGUUCACAUUGGACUGUAGUAUACAGUCUCCAGUCAUUUUGAGAAUCUUAAUUUUGAUUUCUAACAAGUCUCUGUUUUUCUGUAUCAGAACAGGUUUCGAUUGAACUCUUCUAAAACAGCAACUGGAGUAACCGAAUUGUUGAAUGAACUCUCCUGCAACGAUAAUCGAAACAGUCACUAGGCCUAUCAUUCUUUUGGAAAAUCUUAUCAAAAUAAAUGUUUUUGAAAUUUUAGAAAAACACAUGUGAGGAUUAUUUGUUAUGUUUAGAGUCCAGGAAAAGGAAGGCCGCAGCAGAGCGCGGCCGGGAUCUAUCUAGUAUAUUAUACUAUACAACUAUUUUCCGUCGGGUCGGUUCUUGGUCACGUGUACAGUGUUUUUACUGUUCCCGUGAGCAGUGUUGGGCUUUGGUGUUGGAUCUGCGUGGAUCUAGAAAUUUCGACAUUUUCAGAGCCCCGACGUCCUAGAAAUUUCGACAUUUUCAGAGAGCCCCGACGUCUUGAGAACACUAGAAAGUUCAAGGGGAAUUAGUAGAGAGCAUCGACAUUUUCAGAGACCAGAAAUUUCGACAACUGCUGAUUGUCAGGAAAGAGCACCGACUAAGGUUCAAUGCUGAGUAGCCAAAUCCAAUUCGUUUCUAAAUCGAGGUGAGAGAGAGAGAGGAGGAGAAAGGAGAGGAGGAGAGAUUUCUCUCGGUUUGUAUCUAUAAAGGGUGUGGUCAGUGACCGAAUCCAAUUCGUUUUCAGAGCGAGGUGAGAGAGAGGAGAUAGGAGAGGAUUAGUGAUUUGUCAGAGAGAGUAAUUCCAGAAAUUUCAACAACGACCGAGGAUUGAGAGGAGAGGAGAAAGGAGAAGAGAUGGGAUUUGUCUGGGUACAAGAAUCCAAAUCUUUUCUGGAUAUCAGCUCCAAGAAUUCCAGGUUAGUAUCUUCGUCUCAUCUUCAAUUCAUGACAUUGAUUUGUGCAGUAUGGUAAACUAAGUGUAUUGAAUUCCAGGUUUUAGAAUUGGAAUCUGAGUGUAUUUUGGUAAACUAAUUCAAUUUUUUGGUAAAUGGUAGGCUCUCAGGUACUUCGGUUUCCAAACUCUCAUGAGUUAACUGUCAGUAAUGAAAUGAGUUAACCUGCAACAGUAGUUGGACCUGAUAUAAACUUGCAAGUUGAUAUAUCAAUUGGCCAUUCUCAGUGUUAUAAUCUACAAUAGAUGCAUCAACCCACCCAUAUAUCACUUUCUAUUAUGUUAGAUAAUGUAGUCUCCUUUGUCCUUUUUCAUAGUAUUUGAUUGUCUAUUGCCAGAAAGAAUUUUAAUUCUGAAGCUUUAAUCAGUAAAAAAUUAUUAUACUGUCAUUCUAGGUUCAGCUGCAGUUGCUGUAGCUGAAGCUGCAUAUGCAUUUAAGCACCUUGAUCUCUACUGGUAUGGUUAUUUAUGUCUGCAAUAGUAACAUGCGAAUCAAUGAUCGGGAGUUGGUGACUUGAUUUUGUUACAGGGGAAACAUGCUUUUGAGUAGGAGUGAUCCAGUUACAAUGCAGUUCACACUUGAAGGAAAGCAUAUGUAAUUGGAUCAGCAAUAUGAAUCAUUGAUUUCACUCUUUCAAAGAUCAAUAUUGCCAUAUUGGUGACUACUUUUUUAAGUUUGUUUUGUAAUAAUGUGCUUGCUAUGGUAAUGGUUGCAUUUGUUGUUGGUGUAGCAUGCUUAACAUUCAUGAUAAUACAGGUGAAGCCAUACUCUUUCUAGACCUAUCUUCAGAUCUGGAGCUUUUUAAUGGUAUAAGAGGAGAUAAACAUUUAUGAUUUUUUUUUAAUAUCUUUGUUAUAUGACAUAACUGAAUGUUUGCACUGAGCAGCUUACCGGAAAAUGAAGAAGGUAACAGAAGACCUUCAAAUAUUCAAAUAUAUUAGUUUGUGGUGGCAGUAGUUCAUGUUUUAGGCUUUUAGAUAAGCAUUAACUUUUAUGGUAAAUUUUUCUUCAAUGGUACUUUUAUGGUAAACAUACUCUGAGCUAAUUUAAGCAUUGCAUUUUGAAUGGCAGUAGGUUUGUCAUUGUGAUGAGUUUAAAACACAACUUCAUUUCAUCAUAACCUGCCCUCCCGAAACCAAAGUUUUCACAGACAGAGAAAGAACUUUGCCUGUCGUUUUAACAAACCAAUUCUGAAAGAGUGAUCUUAUACAUGUACCGGUCUUACUUUAGCACUGUCUACCAGUUCUUAUUUGGUUGAUUGCUUUUCUUUUUCUGAAUCGCAAUAUUUUUUUUUCUUAAUCUGAGUUUGAAAAUUCCCCAAAACAUUCCCUUUUUCUUUAAAAUAGAGCACCUUAGAGCUUGACAUUACUACAUUGGUUCUUCUGCAACCUAUCCCCAUAUAUGUGCAGUCCAUAAAGGUAGUUUUGGAUUCAGUUGUACAGUUCUCCAUUUUACUGAUGCCUACUGCUUACUACUGUGUGGUUAUUUACAUGAGACAAUUGGUUGGUGUAUAUAACCACAUAUAUAUUGAGUAUGAGACCAGUAAUCAGAAAUUAGGGGGUAGAUUGAUAAGUUAAUACAUAUUGUCAUAUAUAUCAGAACAAAUUGAAGUAUGUACCUGAUCUAUAAUGCUUUUUGUAUAACUAUAUAGAAUACCGUAUUAUCUUCAAUGUAUGGCUGUACAGUAUAGAUGUUUUUAUUCAUUCUCAAAAAAAAAAAUAUAUAAAUGUUUUAAUUUCUGAGUUUUUGUAAGAAGCAUGGUUUUACAUAAUAAAAAAAAUUCUUAUACAGACCAUAUACCAUUACGAAUAUUGUUUAUUUCCAUUGCCCUGUCUAUUUACAUAAUAUCUUCAUCUUCAGUUACAGUAAAGAGAGUACUAUAUCAAGUAUCAACGGGAUAAAAUAACAAUAUUUCUAUUUUUUGUAAGUUCCAAUUGAGCCGCUAGGAGGCAGUUUCUUUGUUCACGUUAUGUGUUCUUUUCCUUCAUCUUGAUUGAAGGGUAUGUCUUUAUGUUUCUGCUUGAUUCACUAAUUUAGAGUUGCAUAGGUAUUUCUUUGUCUACUUCGACCGAAAAUAAACAUAAGUUACUGACACAUGACUGUUUUUAUCACAAGUAGAAAAUUUUUCCAGACAAUGAUUCUGUAGAAAGUAGAGAAAAUGGUGAAAAUGGUGGUUUAUUAGUAAAGAGGAAUGGAGUUCAAUCUUCAGGUACAAUGAAUAAGCUUAUUUUGCAACAUAGUGUCAAGCUUAUUAGUAAACGGGAACAGAUAGAAAAUUGUUUUGCAACAUUGUUUUAUCAUACAACCUGCUUGAUUGUUGCUUACAGAAACAGAUCCAAAGAAAACAUGAAGAAGCUUAUUUUGGAAGCCGGCAUCAUAAAUCCAUUGUUGUAAUUCAGAUAAAGACCGAUUAGUCUUCAGAUUGCUUCAUUUCUUAUGUAUUUCAUUUUAGGUACUUUUCGUUAAUCAAACCAUGAUUCGUUACAAUUUUCCGUGCCGCAGCAUCGUGCGGGUAUCUUUCUAGUAUAUAUACUACUUGAUGCGAAGAACAUGUACCACCCAGCAAACUAUCUUCUUUCUAUCAAUUUGCGAUUAUUGAGACCAGUAAAAGUCUUUGUGGAAUAUCAUACACGCGCACAAGUCCAAAUCCAUCGCAAGGAUCUCUAUCGAAACUAGACUCGAAACCAAAACGACUCCACCCAUUGCAAGUGAACUUGGCUUUACACAGAAGUUGGACUUGUUUGGAAAAAAUGAGCAAAAGUUGGACUUGUUCAUGCGCAUUUUCCACUAAGGAAACAAGAUAUCAACUUCCCGUUUACUCUUUCCACAAAGACUUCCCAUUCACUCCUCAUCUAUUUGUCUGUGAAGAUGAGCGUGCCAUCUGAUACUUAUAUCGAUCAGUAUAUCACUAAUUAGCUAGGUUUUGAACAAUGGCUUUUGAGCAAAACCUUGUGAUGAUUGUCAUAUUCAUGGUCUUGGGAAUUCUUGCAUCCCAAGCCACAUCUCGUAACAUAAUAUUUGAAGUACACCUGAUUCUGCUAAUGCAUAUACAAAGACGAGGCUCUACAAAGACUCGCAAGUCGUUCAUAUAUCUUACUAUUUAUUUAUUUUAUUUUAAGCUAACUUCUAUGUCGUAUAGCAAAUAGUCAAGAACCUAUGAUGUGUAAUUGUUAGUUGUAAACUUUAAUAAGAACGAAAAGACCGACGUCUUACUAAUAUUUAAGCACGUCUACAUCUUCAAUUAGUGAAGGUGCCGGAUAUAUUAAUACAGUAUAAACAUUAAACAAGGGUGCCAAACUAUAAGACAAACUCUAACAAGAGAAUGAAAAAAGCCUCACGCCAAUUAUAUGUUCUUCUUUUCGAGCUUUGGUUUACUUAUUUGAUUCCUCAUCUCCUCACACCUUACCCACAUGCACCGAUAAUUAUUCAAAUAAGUGUUUUUGGAGACAGAAUAUCCGUAGUUGUACGUACGUAAAGAAAAAUCUGAGCGAUCGAAACGAAAGAAAUGAAUCCCUCCAGUUCAUCGGAGACUCAAGUACCGGAGGUAGAGCUAGCAGAGACCAACCAGGAAGACACAACAGGCGGAGAAACUGUAUAUGGCAUGGACCUUGAUGUUUAUACUGCUGCGAAAGAAGGCAAUACUGCUGCCCUGGAAAAGAGAGAGCAUCUUCACCAAAUGUUGUCUCCAACUAAGAACACUGUUCUCCAUAUUUAUAUAGCACGUGCAACAUCAACCAAUCUUGAAGAAAUACACGAGUCAGCCAAGAUUGUCGAGAAGAUGCUUAAAAUAUGUCCGCCUCUUCUGUUGCUGACCAACGAGAAUGGUGACACUGCAUUACACGCUGCGGCUAAACACGGACGCACUGCUAUAGUUAAAGUUCUUGUUCAGGCUGCCAAAGAGGAAAACCAGAAGGUCGAAGGAGCUUGGCCGUGGCUCAUCAGGACAACCAAUGAAGAGGGAGACUCAUCCUUACACAUGGCUGCGCGGUUUAAUCACAUUGAUGUAGUGGAGAUAUUGAUCACAGAGGACCCUGAGUUUUCUCACUCUGCUAAUCGAGAUGGAGAGACUCCUCUUUACAUGGCUGUCGAAAGGGGAUUUCGUGAUCUAUUUUUUCAAAUCCUAUACACAUAAAAAUCCAGCUUACGAAGGACCCAAUGGUAGAACAUGUUUGCAUGCUGCAAUCAUACGCAACGAUAAAGGUAUACAAAUUAUAUUACUGUAUGAUUUUUGUUCUAUAUGUGUGUGUUUAGAAUUGAGCGUGCAAGUCAUGAUUAUCUUUGUUUUUUGUUGAUAAUCAAAUUUUUCUUCUUGUAAUUAAGAAAUGACAGGAAAGUUACUAGAAUGGAAAAGGGAGCUGACAAAAGUAGUAGAUGAUCAAGGUUGUACUCCGCUUCACCUUGCUGCAUCAAUGGGUCGCACUUUGAUCGCGAAACAACUACUCGAGUGUGACAGAUCUGCAGCCUACAUUAAGGAGAAAGAACAUAAGAGGACAGCUCUUCACUUUGCAGCUCACUAUGGCCAUGAAGGCGUUAUGAAAAACAUUAUUAGGGAAUGCCCUGAUUGUUGUGAAUUGGUAGAUGACAAACAUCAAAAUAUCCUACACACUGCUAUUAUGAAAGGCCAAGUCGCCUUAGGGCAUAUUGCUCUCAAAGAUCCAUGGCUUAGCAAUGUUCUCUUGAAUGGCAAGGAUGAUAAUGGAGACACACCCCUCCACCGUAUUGCUUAUAACAAAUCAUUGAGUUUUUUUUUUCUUGGUACUAGGUUUGCAACAGAUGCUCGAAUUGACAAUAUGGCAUUUAACAAAAAGAAUCAAAAUGCUUUGAACAUCCUUCAAGAAGAUGAGAGAAAUUUUGCCGGAGCAUACAUGGUUAGUCCUUUUCACUUACAUAAUUGUGCAAUUAUGCGAAAUUAAGGUGUUUAGAUAUUAUUUUUUUUUUAUUAACUAGUGCAUGCCCAGGAGUGUGAGUUCGAGAUCAUUCAACUUGCUGUUGUUACAGCAGCUCUUGCUCUUUGAUUUGCUUUUGUCUUCCUUUACUUUUAGUCUGUAGUGGUUUGUAGCAGUGUUUAGUUUCCUUCUUGCUCUUUCAGCCUUGUUGGCUUUCAAUUUGUUGUUUUUGCUCGACCUUUGUGGUCUGUUUCAAUGAAGUUCUAUUCUUGACCAAAAAAAAAGUUAAUGAUAAAAUAGACAAAUUGGAAAAGUAUUGAUGCCAUAAAAAGGAAUGAAGGAAUCUAUUAUCUUCCUCAUUCUUUCAAUUUGUUAGUUUAAAUGUAUUGUAUUAUUGUCCUUGUAUUGUUAGUUUGUUACUUCAUAUUUCAUAUACAUGUGUUACAGGGACAACGACUUCAAGACAAGCUGAAACAGAGUGGUGUCGUACUUGGUCGCCGAAUUGUACCAAAUGUAAGGAAAACAGAAAAUGUUAACAAGACAGUUAUGAAGAAUGAAGGUGAUGAGAGAGGCGGAAAACUUGGGGAUACUCAUCUGUUAGUGGCUAUACUAAUAGCAACUGUAAGUUUUGCAGCAGGGUUUACCAUGCCUGGUGGUUACCAAAGUGAUAAAGGACCAGACCAAGGCUCUGCAAUUCUAAGUAGAAGUACAGCUUUCCAAGCUUUUGUCGUAACAAAUACCAUAGCCAUGACUUUGUCCAGUUGUGCUGUCUUCUUGAACCUUUAUUCAUCCAUGUAUGCAAAGCGGAACGUAUUGUUUACGACCCUUUACGCAGUAAGCAUGUUCACCUUGUUGGCUUUAGUUGCAAUGGUGAUUGCAUUUAUUACUGGCACAUAUGCAGUACUGGGUCAUUCUUCAGGUCUUGGCAUCACGAUUUGUGUUCUUGGCAGCCUUCUCUUCUUCGUCUUAUAUGAGGUUAUGAUUUAUGAUGAAACAGCACUUCGAGUAGCAAUACCUUUGGUUCCUUUGAGCAUCUUUUUUUUGCUCAUUUUCUUUUUGAUGAUUAAGAUGUUUGCUGUAAUGGGAAAAUUACGUCACCUUUGUGUCGGGAGUAACUCAUCUGCGCCAAAAAGAGAAGGAAGAUGGUCCAACAGUACUCCUGCUACGAGCACCUCUUCUCAAUUACGCUCAGACAAAGAAAUGGUUGUAUACAACAGAUGUUAAGGCAUGAGAAACAGCCUCAAGUACUGCAAUGUGUUUCAGGCUUCGGAGUGUUACUUAGUUGUAUUCGAAACAAAAUAAUAAUGUUUGAUUUUCAUUCUCUCUUUGUCGACUAGGGUCGAUAAAAGUCGUAAUGAUAUGCAAUUGUAUUUAUCAUCUCAUAAAGUUUGAUCUGGACCUAGCUAGUUUAUGAUUCAUUAUGCAGAUUUACCAUUUACAAGCUACCUAUCUCAGCUAGGAAAAGUUGUGAUCAGUGAUGAGGAUAAACUUUCUAUUGCUGUUUUACUUCUGCUUGCUACGUAAUUUGGCUCCAUGAGAUGUGUGUUUUUGUGGUGCUAGGUUGCUUAUAUAUGAGAAUGUUUUGGCUAAUCUGCUUCUGUACAAGUUGCAACAGAAGUACCCUUCGUCAAAAACUCUACAACCCUUCUCAAUCCCACCAACCUUCAUAUACAUAUCAACAAGAGCACUCCCCACAAACACCGAGUUCACAAAACCCGAUUUCACCGAGUACCCAUGUCAAACCUCCCCGUAAGUCAACUCCCCACCAAGUCCGCCAGCCUUGAGCGCAACGCUGAGAAGAAAAGGGUCCAUGCCGAUAUCCGGCCGCACCCACAUGUUUGAAAACAGAGCCAAUGCUUCAGAGGAAUCAGAGACUCCAACGUAGCCUGAGAUCAUAUUGGUCCAUGUGACCUCAUCUCUCUUGGGCAUUUCAUCGAACACCUUCCGGGCGUGUUUGAGAUCACCAGUUUUGAUCAGCUGCUUCAAUUGGAAGUUGAGUUCGGGGAUGUCUACAUGAUUACCAUGAUGGGUUUUGCAAUCCCGCUGCUUUGUUUUUGAUUCGGGAGCCAGAACAAGGCAUCUGCAUUGUGGGUGAGCCAAGGGUGAGCUUGUAAAUAGUCUUCGAAAUUGAGAUCUGAUCGUUCUAACCAUGUUCUGUAUUUGAACGAAGGAAAGCAUUUGGCGCCUCCUAAUUUCUACAAAGAAGUGGGUCCCAUAGGGGAACUGGCCCAAAGCGGGCUAGGCGGAUCUUGAAUUGGUGGACGUCUCAGGGGUGUUGACUACUUAAAAUUAAAAAAUUAUCUAAAAGACAACGCAAUCUUAACCAUUCAUAAAUUUGAACAUCAUGUAUGUUCAAUAAAGUCAUAGAUCUUAAUAAUCCACGAUAUCAUGUAUUUACACGUCGUGCAUAGACGAUUCUCUGCUAACUAACUUUUUAUAACAACAGUUUUCUGCUGACCACACGAUUUAUGAAACGCAGAUGAGCUGUCUUUGUUGACUUGACAGGCUGGCUUGACUAUAUAUAACAUAAUAUUUGAAGCACACUUGAUUUUGCUUAGGGGUCAUCAUUUGGCCAGCGGGUCUAAAAGCCCGCUAGGCUCGUCAAAAAGCCCAUCUCGCCCCGACCUAUAAGGCAUGAGGCAGGGAAAGGGCGAAGGGUUCAAAGCCUCGGUCAGGCCCGCGGCCCGGCCCGUUACAUGCCCAUCAAAGUCCGGACGGCCCGGCCCUGAAAAGCCCGCCUAAAAGCCCUUUUAAUUGUUUUAUCAAUAUUUUUAUGGAGUUAUUAGUUAAAUAUGUGAACUAAUUAAUAGAUUAAAACAUAUUUUUCUUUGAUUUUUUUAUUACAUUUAGUUCAAUCAUUAACAAAUCUUAACUUUUUUAUAGUUUUUUUUGUUUUAUUUUGAUAAAAAUCUAUUAGAUAUAUGUAUAUAAUAAGCCCGGCCCUAUAAUUUAGAAACAUGAUUGAGGCCCAGCCCGAGCCCAUAAGGCUUGGAUAGUUUUUUUUUUUUAUUUUGAUAAAAAUCUAUCAGACUCCAACGUAGCCUGAGAUCAUAUUGGUCCAUGUGACCUCAUCUCUCUUGGGCAUUUCAUCGAACACCUCCGAGUGUGAUUGACAUUACCAAGUUUGACGAGCUGCAUCAGUUGGGAGUUGUCUACAUGAUGCCUGAUGGGUUUUGUGAUCUAGAAGAAGAAGAAGGCUUCUGCAUUGUGGGUGGCCGAAGGUUGAGUUGGUAAAGACUUUUCGAAAAUGAGAUCUGAACGUUAAAACCAUGUUCUGUAUUUGAACACAGGCCCGCCGAAUUUCCAUAAAGAAGUGGGUGGCCUAGACGAACUGGGCCCAAAGCGGGCUAGGCGAAAUCCACACUUGUUGGUCCUAUCCGGAUUGGGGGAUCAACCGUCUUAAGCGAGGUUAACACAGUUUCUGUUUUAGGCUAACUAAUAUUUCUAACAACAUUUUCUUGCUGACCACAAGACACAAGACACGUGGAUGGAUUAAGCCUUUGUCGACUUAACAGGCUGGCUUGACUUUUUAUUUUAUUUUUAAUAAAGGGCAAUUAAACCGGCUGGCUUGACUCGUUAAGUCAAGCACACUUGACGCUGCUAACGCAAAGACGAAGACUCGCAUGCUAAAGUCUAUGUUGUAUUGUAUAUAGUCAAGAUGUGUAAUUGUUAGUUGUUAGUUGCAAUACAACUAAUACAAUUAGACACAUUUGCAACAUGUAAGCACACUGACGCAAACACACUUGACGCUGCUAACGCAAAGACGAAGACUCGCAAGCUAAAGUCUAUGUCGUAUUGUAUAUAGUCAAGAUGUGUAAUUGUUAGUUGUUAGUUGCAAUACAAUUAAUACAAUUAGACACAUUUGUAAUAUGUAUAUCAUACCAUAUGGUAUGAUAAAUAGACAAACCCUAAUGAGAGAAUGAACAAUUCUACUUGUUACUAAAAUUUAAGGAAUAAUUUGUAGUUUAAGACAACACGUAUAGUACUUACACUAAACAACUUGUUGUGUACCCUUGACCUUUGAUCGCAACUUGUAUUAGGAUCCACUUGUAUUAUGGAAUCAAAAUUCUAUAUUUAUAGUGGCAAACGGGGCUCUAUAAUCUAUCUUAGUAGUGCAUACCAAUCUCACACCCUCCAAAAGGACCAAAACCACCACUAACCAGAUGGUGUCCAAUUCAUCUGAGAUUCAAGUAACGUCACCUAAUGGUCUUGGUGAUCAUAAGUCUAGGCUAGAAGAGGCCAACCCUGAAGCUACCAGAGGCGAUGAAUGUUUGGAAGGCAUGGAGCUUGAUGUAUACAAUGCGAUAAAACGAGGCAAUAUUGAUGCCCUUUUAGAACAUAGGGAUCAUCUUCACCAAAUAUUGACUCCAACUGGAAACACAAUGAAAAUUCUUCCAUUCACAUAGUGAUCCCUAACUGUGUGACAUGGCAGCACCACACAAACCUGAAGCUUGAAGUUUUAUCGUUCGGCAACAAAUUCAAACAAGGUAAUCCAAAAUUUUCAAGCUACAAAUAGGAUGAGAGCAUCAGACUCAUAUUCCUAUAAAAAUAGAAUAGAUGUUGGGUCAAUAUUCUUUCCUUCUUUUAUAUAUAUAUACAGUCAUUUUCAGAUACGGAGAUCCGGACGGGUUUUCAGUCCCGAUUUCCGCCGUUUCUCCACCAUUCCAACGUCGGCGAUGCCGUUUCUUCUCUCCGGCCUUCUUCUUCAUUCCAACACUGUCGGGGGAGGUUUGGGAUCACGCCAGAGAGAAGAAACGGCGUCGCCGGCGCUGGAAUGGUGGAGAAACAGCAGAAAUCCAGACGGAAACCGUCCAGACGUCCGCACCUGAUAAACCCCAUAUAUAUAUGUAUAUAUAUAUAUAUAUAUANNNNNNNNNNNNNNNNNNNNNNNNNNNNNNNNNNNNNNNNNNNNNNNNNNNNNNNNNNNNNNNNNNNNNNNNNNNNNNNNNNNNNNNNNNNNNNNNNNNNNNNNNNNNNNNNNNNNNNNNNNNNNNNNNNNNNNNNNNNNNNNNNNNNNNNNNNNNNNNNNNNNNNNNNNNNNNNNNNNNNNNNNNNNNNNNNNNNNNNNNNNNNNNNNNNNNNNNNNNNNNNNNNNNNNNNNNNNNNNNNNNNNNNNNNNNNNNNNNNNNNNNNNNNNNNNNNNNNNNNNNNNNNNNNNNNNNNNNNNNNNNNNNNNNNNNNNNNNNNNNNNNNNNNNNNNNNNNNNNNNNNNNNNNNNNNNNNNNNNNNNNNNNNNNNNNNNNNNNNNNNNNNNNNNNNNNNNNNNNNNNNNNNNNNNNNNNNNNNNNNNNNNNNNNNNNNNNNNNNNNNNNNNNNNNNNNNNNNNNNNNNNNNNNNNNNNNNNNNNNNNNNNNNNNNNNNNNNNNNNNNNNNNNNNNNNNNNNNNNNNNNNNNNNNNNNNNNNNNNNNNNNNNNNNNNNNNNNNNNNNNNNNNNNNAUUAUAUAUAUAUAUAUAUAUAUAUAUAUUUUUUUUUUUUAAAAGAUGGAUCUAUCUUCUAAUAUUCCAGAUUUUUGAUUUCUUUAUCAAAUCAAUUUUGCAAUCAUGUUUCUUUCUCAUGCUGUGAUGGUAGAAUUUUGCCAUCAAUUAUGUAAUUAAAGGACGUUGGAAGAUCAUUUUUGGAAGGAUUUCUGCCAUCAAUUUUGCAAUCAGGGAAGGUUAGAAAGAUCUGGGUUUUGAUGGAAUACCCAUGUAUAAGGUUUUCGUAACUCGAUUUGGAUUCGAACUGAGCAGCACGAACCCAAAUUGAAUUUGGAUAACUAAUGGCAUACGAAGAUCUGGGUCAACGAGUCCCCGAAUACCAUCUUCACGGACGAAGAUCUGGGUUUCGCGUGUAGGCUGAAUUUUCCCUAAAUUCCGUUAGCGCGUGUUGUUUGAGCCCAAUUAGGAAUUGGGUCCAUGACUGAAUUGAAAGUGUCUUGGGUAGCAUUUGGGCCAACACAUGUGGCCCUAAAAAUAAGUCUGUUUAAGUUUGUAACCCUGAGGAUAAAGAUGAGCGAGGCAAAUUCCUACAGGGACUAUAGCGCCUCGCAGGAUGAAGAAGAAAUUACCUCAAUGGUUGAUUCCGCAUCAGAGACAAGGAAGUCUCUGAUAAGCGAAAGGUCAAUACUCGUGACCUAUGCGAAGUCUACUUAUGUAGCUAGGCGCGCAUCACCGAGUUAUUUGGUUGGCAAGUAAAACGAAACCUUGUAUAACUUAGGUAGCAGUAACUUAGAUUGCGAGAGCUGCAUCCUUAUCAGAUUAUUAUACGAACCACUAUAUAAAGAGGGUUUGGGGAUCAGUUCACACACACAAUCUCUCACACAAACAGAGCAAUUUGCAAACUUUGACCUAGUCAAAACCCUAACGCUAAAGCACUUCGCCUUAGCAAACCAUUUACUUUUCCGGCUCCUUGGAGUCAUUGCACUUUUACUUUUCAAGCUCUUCCGAGUGACGUCUUGUUUUACUUUCCCUUUGGUAGCUCUGCUCGCUGUCUAAUGCGAGUAUCGAUUGGGUGGCAGAAGGCUACUGGUAAAUCCUUGUCCGCAAGGUGGCACCUGUAACUCGCUUUCGUUCUAAUAGAAGCAUAGGUGGUGUGCAUUCUACUUUUUCAAGACUUAUUACAUUCUGCGUCCGCACGGUGACACACCCUUUUAAUUUUCUUAGACUCGGACUUGUACUAUCUUCCCCUACUUGAGAGCGUGGCCAAAACACGUGUAAUACACUCGCGGUUAGUGAUCAUUCACUCUGUGGAGGGAAGAAUCUCUGGAAACAUAAUCAUCCAUAUCUAUAUAGCAUGUGUAAGGUCAACCAAUCCUGAAGAAUAAAGCUAUUCAGCCAUCAUCGUCGAGAAGAUUCUUGAAAUGUGUCCACCACUACUGCUGCAGUCGAACAAGAUUGGCGAGACUGCAUUACACAUUUCCGCAAUACAUAUGCACUGCUAUAGUUGAUAUGAUUAUGCAGGUUGGCAAAAUGAAGAUAAGAAAACAUUUGGCGCCUCCUAAUUUCUACAAAGAAAUGGGUCCCAUAAGGGGCCCAAAAUAGGCUAGGCGGCAAUGAGGUUGGGCUAGGAGGAUCUUGAAUUGGUGGACCUACUCGGGCUGGGGUGUCGACUAUUUAAAAUUACAAAAUUACCUAAAAGGAUCUUCUAGGCGGAAAAGUCUUUUAUGCACGGCGUGUAAAUAGACUGUGUAAUCUUAAUUAUUCAUAGAUUUGAACACCCAUGUGCAAAUAGACUGUCCAACAGAAACAUAGAUCUUAAUCAUCCACAUGAUUCUAUGCUGACUAACUUUUAUAACUACAGUUUUCUGCUGACCACAAGAUUCAUGAAACGCGGAUGAGCUGCCUUUGUUGACUUGACAGGCUGGCUUGACUAUAUAUCACAUAAUAUUCGAAGUACGAGAAAUUUUAAAUACACAUCUCUAAUCUCUUAAUACACACCCUUAUUAUUUUAUAUUUCACAUUAGAUUUUAUAGGUAUGUUUAAUUACAAAAACAUCCAUCAAUUUUUAGGGAAAAAAAAAAAAAAAAAAAANNNNNNNNNNNNNNNNNNNNNNNNNNNNNNNNNNNNNNNNNNNNNNNNNNNNNNNNNNNNNNNNNNNNNNNNNNNNNNNNNNNNNNNNNNNNNNNNNNNNNNNNNNNNNNNNNNNNNNNNNNNNNNNNNNNNNNNNNNNNNNNNNNNNNNNNNNNNNNNNNNNNNNNNNNNNNNNNNNNNNNNNNNNNNNNNNNNNNNNNNNNNNNNNNNNNNNNNNNNNNNNNNNNNNNNNNNNNNNNNNNNNNNNNNNNNNNNNNNNNNNNNNNNNNNNNNNNNNNNNNNNNNNNNNNNNNNNNNNNNNNNNNNNNNNNNNNNNNNNNNNNNNNNNNNNNNNNNNNNNNNNNNNNNNNNNNNNNNNNNNNNNNNNNNNNNNNNNNNNNNNNNNNNNNNNNNNNNNNNNNNNNNNNNNNNNNNNNNNNNNNNNNNNNNNNNNNNNNNNNNNNNNNNNNNNNNNNGAUGUGUAUUUAGUAUAAUAUUGAAAUAAAAAGCUAAAUGUGUAGUGUAUUAAGUAAGGGGUGUAUUAAAAUAUUAUGAGUGUAUUUAAAAUUACUCUUGAAGUACACACUUGAUUCUGCUAAUGCAUAUACAAAGACUCAUUCAUCUUAAUAUUUAAUUAUUUUAUUUUAAGACGAAAAAACAAAUUCUAUUUGCUCACCCAACCUAAGUUUGAAAUCGAAAAGAAAAAAAAAGUGUUAACUUCUAUGUCGUAUAGCGUAUAGUCAAGAACUCGUGAUGUGUGAUUGUUAGUUGUAACUUUAAUAAGAGAGAAAAUCUUAUGUGCGACAACCGCACCAGGUGGCUCAUGCAACCGUCUAAUCGUGCACCGACACGUGUCCACCUCACUUGCAGAAAUCAGAAAAGAAAAGAAGACCAGAGCUGUUCUUAUUCUCCGAUCAUACCAGGUCCUCUCCCUCUCACUCUCCCAGCCUUCCUCAAAGCCGCCACCGCCGUCAAGUCACGCUCCACCUCCAUCUUCGCCGCCUCCGACGAUGAAGACGACUGCGUCAACGAUCCCUGGGAAGCGCGUCCCGACGCAGCGGUUGUCGUGGCCGAGACAAAGGCAGAUCCGCCAGGAGGUUGCGGCGGAGAUAAUUGUGGAGCUGUGGUGGUCGGCGGAGAUGCAGUGGUGGUGGCUAGCGAGGAGGAGAUGAGGGAUAAGGUGAUUUGGGAGGCGAAGAUGUGAGAGAGGUCGGUGGAGUAAAGGAUUGUGUGGAUGGAUUGUUUGGGUUACAGAUUGAAGACAAGAAGAAGAAUGAGUCCUAUGUUGGUUGGUGUAUGAGUCGAGAAUUCGGUAGAGGUAGAGAGGAGGAGAGAGGUUUGCUCUGGUCUGAUCGGAGAAGAAGAAGAACUCCCGUCCUUUUUUUUUUUUUUUCUUUUUCUUUUUUGAGGUGGACAAGAAUCGCCACGUGUCGGUGCACGAUUGGGUGGUCGCAUGAGACACCUGGUACGGUUGUCGCAGAGAAAAUUUUCUCUUAAUAAGAACGAGACCUACGUCUAUUUAAGCGAUACAAUGGCAACACUUGUAUCAAGCACGUCUGCUGUCCGCUUCUUCAUUUUGUGAAGGGACCGGAUAUAUUAAUACAGUAUAAACAAGGGUGCCCGCCAAACGGUGCUCUAAUCUAUAUAAGUAGUGCGUAAUUACCUCAAUGACUCCACAACCACAACUACCCAAAUGGCGGCCCAUUCAUCUGAGAUGCAGGUAUCACCGCCUGAUGAUCUUCGUGAUCAUGAGGCUAGGCUAGAAGAGGCCAUUCCGGAAGCUACCGGAGGCGAUGAAUGUUUGGAAGGCAUGGAGCUUGCUGUAUACAAUGCCGCAAAACAAGGCGACAUUGUUGCCCUUUCGAAUUCAGAACAUAGGGAUCAUCUUCACCAAAUAUUGACUCCAACUGGAAACACAAUCCUCCAUAUCUACAUAGCAUGUGCAACGUCAUUCGAUCUCAAAGAAGUGAGCAAAUCAGCCAUCGGCGUCGAGAAGAUUCUUCAAAUGUGUCCACCACUACUGCUGCAGUCCAACAAGAUCGGCGACACUGCAUUACACAUUGCGGCAAGAUACGGAUGCACUGCUAUAGUUGAAAUGAUUUUGCAGAUUGGCAAAAAAAAUCGUGACGAAGGAGAGGGAGCUUGGCCGAGAAUCAUCAGCAAAAAAAAUAAGGAGGGAAACACAGCCUUGCACGAGGCCGUGCGGUUUAAUCACUUUGAUGUGGUGAAGAUGUUGUCGUUGACCACACAAGAUGUUCAUGAGCAGAUUUCCUACUCUGCUAAUGUCGCCGAAGAGACUCCUCUAUACAUGGCUGCCGAAAGGGGAUAUCGUGAUGUGGUUUUUCAAAUCCUACUAAGUUGCACAGAUCCAGCUUACCAAGGCCCCAAUGGUAGAACUGCUCUACAUGCUGCAGUCAUACGCAACCAUAAAGGUUAGAGACUUUUCUUUUUCUUCUGUGAUUACAUAAAUUGGAAGACUACCAUGAGUCCAUGAGUCCAAUUUCAUGCUCGCCACUUACUUGAAAGUGUUUUAAACUUUCAUCUCAAAAAAAAGAAAGUGUUUUAAACUUACAUUAAUCCCACUUAGUUAUUCUAUUUUUGUUAUCUGUCGAUCUUUCUAAUUAAUGAACAUCGUAUAUUUGUUUUCAUCAUUUAAUAAAGUUCAUUGGUUAUAUUAAUUCACCAUUUAAAAUCUAAAAAAAUUAAAAUGGUAAAAUUGGUAAUGCAAUAGAUACUAUGCUUUGACAAUAUAUAUUAUGUUGAAUUGAAACAAAUAUUUUUAUUAUAGAGAAAUACCAUAUCAGUGCCCAUGACCAAUAUAUCCACUGUGCCACAUUAAUUAUAUAUAUUUUUGAUAUUGAUAGUGUUCUUAUUGUAAGUGGCUCCCACUUCCAAGUAAUUCCACACGAAUCACUGGUAUGGUAUUUAUUGUCAUGGGACAAUAAUUUUCCUAUAAAUUUACCCAUUGUUGAAAUGCACUUGGAAAAGAAAUCGUCUACAUACCGUAGCUAGAUAUAAGAUGAAAGAGAAUUGUUGCUAGCUAGCUACUUGAGAAGUUCUUGUUAGUUGAUUAUAUCUAUUUAAUUAUUAAUUGUCUUUUCUUUUUUGUGCAUGGUUAUUAAGAGAUGACGAAGAAGUUACUAGAACGUAUAAGGGGUCUAACAAAAGCAGUAGAUGAACAAGGAUGUACUCCGCUUCACCUUGCUGCGUCCUUGGGUCACACUUCAAUUGUAAAACUAUUACUCAAACAUGACAGAUCUGCUGCCUACGUUAAGGAGAAAGAGGAGAAGAAGACGGCUCUUCACUUUGCAGCAAUGAAAGGCCAUGUACAUGUAAUGAAACAACUAAUAUCCCAGUGUCCUGAUUGUUGCGAAUUGGUGGACAAGAAUUCUCGCAAUUUCCUACACUGCAGUAUCCUCGCCGAUAAAGAAAUUAGUGUAGUGUAUUUCGUGCUAGAAGAUCCAUGGCUUAGCAACAUCCUCCUAAAUGGCAAGGACGACAAUGGAGACACACCCCUCCACUAUCUUGCUGAUACUUGUUGCGACCACACUUUUGGUGACGGUUUAGUAAUAGAUGCUAGAGUUGAUAAGAUGACAUUCAACAAAGCAAAUCAAAACGCUCUUGAUAUUCUUCUACAAAUUACACAAAUUAAAAGAUACUCUUUGAUCUUAACAAAACAGGUCACUUUUUUAUUUUGACUACUUUAAUCAAGUAUAUAACGUAGUAAGUUGAAGUUAUUUAUAGUUUUCAAUAAAAAUACUAAUCUUAUAUAUGUGUGUGUUACAGGGCCAACUGAAAGAAAAAUUAAAAAUGAAUGGUGUCAUACCAGGCUGUCGACAUGUAAGGGACAAAGAGGAGGUACCGGUUGAGAAUAAAGAAAAGGAAAAACCAAGUGAAGACGAAUACAGGGAAGUGAAGGAGACCCAUCUUCACACACUUUAAUCAAGCUGCUCUAGCCAAAUUGGGUUGGAAAAUCCUAACUGAACCUCAAAACUGGUGGGUUUCUUUAAUUCGUGCCAAAUAUCUGCAAAGAAAAACCUUCUGGGAUGUUAAACCAACUAAUAAUGCUUCUUAUGCUUGGAAGAGUAUUCUUUCUACCAGAUCCUUGUUACAAGAAGGUAUUCAAUGGUUAGUUGGUGAUGGUUCUCAUAUCAAUUUCUGGCUUUUUAAUUGGGCUUAUCCCUUUUCUCUCAUUAUUUUUGUUCCCCAACAUCUACAUCCUCAUGUCAAUUUCACUGACACAGUAGCUCAGUUCAUACAUAACCAACAAUGGUCCCUUUCAAGACUUCAUCACCUUCUUCCUCCUGAAGUUAUUUCUCAUAUUUCUAAAAUUCCUCUUCCUUUCUUUCCUCAGCAUGAUUCCAUGGUAUGGGGAGCUUCGGGGAAUGGAAAAUUUUCAAUUCAUUCCGCUUCUAGUCUUCUGAGUUCUCGAAUUCCUCCUCACUCUCAAACUCCCCUCCUCACUAAAGUUUGGAAACUUAAAAUUCCUCCAAAAGUCAAAGUUUUUGCAUGGCAGCUUAUUCGAAAUAGACUCUCUACAAAAGAUAGAAUUUUUACUAACCAAUUCAUAGAUCGUUCUUGUCCUUUUUGCCACUCUCACUUAGAAACCACUGAUCACAUUUUCCUUCAUUGUCACUUUGCUUCUCAAGUCUGGAACCUCACUUUUCCUUCAAUCCCCUCAUUACAAUUUCCUUCCUUCCUCCACCUUCUUAAACAUCUAAACAAUCUUUCCAAUACACAACUUCCUUUUCUUGAAAUUGCCUUAACUACGGCCUACAUCCUUUGGAAACAGAGAAACUCUGCCAUUUUUCGUAACCAAGCUCCUGCCCCUCCCAAUGUUGUCUUCUCAGCUGCCAAUCUUUUUAAACAAUUCCGAAAUUGUCACCUUACCAAUUCUCAUAAUAAUUUCUUUUCCACAACUGUUUUCAAAUGGUAUCCUCCUCCUCCAAAUUGCCUCAAACUUAACUUUGAUGGAUCGGUUAUUAACCAUAUAUUCAGCAGCUUCUGGAUUUGUCUUUCGGAAUUCUGAAGGCAAUCCAAUCCUGGCUUCCACGAAACAUGUUGGAGAUCAAGACAUCCUCACAGCUGAAACGUUAGCCUUAAGAGCCGGUCUCACUGGAGCCUGGUAUCAUAAUUUCACUCAUUUUCAGGUUGAAGGAGACUCCAAAACUCUCAUUGACAGUAUUAAUGGAACAAGGACGUGCCCUUGGAGAAUUCUCACAAUUGUACGAGAUAUUAAACACCUUGCUUCGCUUCUCCAAGUCUCUUCUAUCUGCCAUAUCAAGAGGGAACAAAAUUUUGUGGCAGACGCAAUAGCAAAACUUGGUCAUACCAUUUCUGUAAAGGCUUGGAAUGCUUCUCUUCCCUUAUCAGCCAGUUCAGCUUUUUAUUUUGAUCUUAUAGGAAACGGUUGUUUUAGGGGUUUCCAGUUGUAAUUUAUUUCCAUCCAGUCAAAAAAAAAGUGAAGGAGACCCAUCUCCUAGUGGCUACACUUAUAACAACUGUAAGUUUCGCAGCAGGUUUUACGAUGCCUGGUGGUUACCAAAGUGAUGCUACAUCACCAAACCAAGGUUCUGCAACUCUAGCCAGAAAUGAAUCUUUCCAAAUUUUUGUUGUAACGAAUACCAUGGCCAUGACUUUGUCUACUUGCUCUGUAUUGCUGCAAUUUUAUUCGCUUGCGUUUCCAAGGACUGGGAUCCUCUCCUCAUAUUUCUCUGCUCAUACUUCCUCAUAAAUGAAUCUGAGCCAUCCAAUCUUAAUGGAUGGCCAGGAUUUCUCUGGCUUUAUUCCCUCAAAUUUCAGACCCAGAGUAUAAACCCAGGAGUAGGUUGAUAUGAACCCAGAAGUAGGGUGAUCAAUUUUGGGUUGAUAUUGGUACCGGCGACGAUACCAAAAUGAUGAAAGUUCUCAUUGCGAAGGAACACUUUGAAUAUAACUAAAUUUAACACACGGCUAAAUUUUUGCACAAAGUGAGGCCAAGUUUCAACUGCCCAUCUAUUUCCAUUCUUCCCUCUUGCAUUGCUCAUAUUUCUAGAACGUAUCUAUUCGAUCUUUGAUCAAUAUCCUUCAUCUUGACUGAACUACUUGGCUUUAAAUUUUUUCUUUUAGUUUUAACUCUCACUCCCAAAUAAAAUAUUUCUUAUCACAAAUCAUAUAUAGCUUCAGUUGCAGCAUAUUAGCAACUAAUUAUAACAAGCUGGGAUCUCUCAUAUCAUGAUUUCCAUAACACUACAAGAACCAGUCUUUCUCACAAAACAUAAACCCAGUAACAUGCAAAGAACAUUGCUUUUUCCAUCGCUGAAGACAAAAGCGAAGACCCAUCAACGAGACCUUCUUGCUUCUCUCUCAUACUCGAGCAGGAUGAGGAUGUCGCUCUACCUGACCGGUUCCUUGAGGUUUCUCAUGAUUAACCGGUUCUGGUCGUCGUGACGGCUGCGACAACAGACGAUCCUCGAGACCCGUCAACGCAUCCUUCUUUCUCUUUCGGCUGCUGAUUCGAUUCGAACAACAGAGAGGUAGUAAAAGUGUAAAACUAUAUGCAAUAGGAAUUAUGGAGCGAAAGAUAUCAGCUUUGGGGUUGGGGGUGAGAGAGGGAAGAGAGAGAUGAGAGGAGAUCGGCGAUCAGAAAUCUAUACGAGAAUUUGGGAAGAAGAUAGACUAAUCACCUUAAAGAAUGUAAGAUAAAUCCUGACCAUCUAUUAAGAUUGGAUGGUUCAGAUUUAUUUAUGAGGAAGUAUGAGCAGAGAAUUAUGAGAAGAGGAUCCCGAUCCCGUUUCCAAAGCGGCUAAGGCUGGAUAAGGGGAAUCUUUAUCUUUAUCUGUUGACCAUGUGGGCUUUGAUGUUAAUGGUGGUUGCGUUUCUUUCGGGUACAUAUGCAGUACUGGAUCCUAAUCCAAGGCUUGCAGAAACGGUUUAUUGGCUUGGCCUCAUUUUAUUCUUUGGCGUAGUUGAAUUCAUGUUUUAUGAUCAAAGAGAAUUAAUGAAUGCUACAUUCGGUCCCUUUAUUUGGCUGGCGACGAAGAUGUUUUAUGGUAUCCGCAAAUUAUACAAAUGUCUCCGGCCGGUCUCCGCUGCAUCAAAAGGAAAGCGGUCAAAGCCCAUGGUUCCUACCCGUAGUACCAUCGAUGAGAUGGACAGACAAAUGAUUGUAUAAAGGAAAACUAUGUUGCUUCUCAUGAGUGGCCUGAUAGGGUGAAAUGGGAGUCAUAUUGGUAUGUACUAUGCAGAGUCGUUAAUUACUUUGUUUUUCCCAAGUACAACAAGUUGUUGUUUAUUUAUUUGAGUCUGAAAUAACCUUGUAGCAAACAAAUGUUAUCUUUUCCGGGGGAUUGUCAGUUACAAGUUAAUAUCCUUCUUGCUCAUGAGUUCUUUCACCCCCUCCAAAAUUAUGCGUUUAGCUUAAAACUUGUACAUGAAUAAAUCAUGGCAGAGUGAGAUAUGGACAUGCUUGAGAUAUGUGGCAAGCACUGAAAGUGAGACUGCCCAACUAUCUCAAGCAUCCCCACGCGUUCUUACAAUUACAAAACCUUGGCCUUGGGAAAAUGCCAUGCUUACCAAAUGAGAUUACAACUAUAUCCUACUUCACUAAUCAAAGCAUAUAUGUGCGUGAAUCAACAGCAUCAAACCAAUUUCAAGAGACCAAUCAAUCAUGUAACUUGAGUGGUACAGCCAUCGUCACUUAGGUUUUCCAAUGGCUAUGAACAAGCAUCAUAAUGAUUGAAUUUGACCCCCAUACCCAUAAUUCUUCAAGAGCCCCUCAUCUUGCCGCCAAUUCUCUUUAACCUUCACCUCAACCUGUUAAAAGAAGGGACUUAAAAGAAUGAGCAAGUCUUGAAAAACUAUCAGAACUAAAACAUAAUAAUUUAGACAGUGGUCAUGGGAUGAUAUGACACCUCUAGAAAAACUUUUUUCUGUAAGGAAAUCUUCUAUGUCAAGCCGUGAAGUUGUUGCAAGUAGUUUCAAAGCUCUCCCAUCCUACAACGGUUCAGUACAAGACAAUCAGUAAGUGAACUUUUGCUUCCAACUGUGAUGGCACAUCAAAGCUCUAUAGUUUCGCAAGAUACAUGCCUUUACGCUCACGUACAUGUUCCAGAGUAAGUCUUUGAUCAAGACAAAUAUAACAGAGAUGUAUUUAUACAGUGUGCAAAGCGCAUAUGAACAUGUUAUUCCGUAAUAGCUAAUAAGUUUACAACCCUCCUAUAACCAUAGCAAAAGGCUUCCAAAACUAAUAAUAAGAGCAUUAUAUACAUCAGAUAGCCAUAAAUUUCUAUCAAGCAAACCAACAAAUCCACAAUUAAGGAUUACUUACUUUUCCGAUAAGGAUGAUUUUCUGUGAAUUUUUCUCAACAACUAUUUCCACUUGUAUAAAAAAUCUUUUGCUGCUGGCCUACUUUUGUAGCUCACGACAUUCACCUGGAUAUUAAACCAAGUGAGGGUAAAGAUUAAAGCUACUAGAGAUACUACCAUCUUCUUUUUUCCUUUAAUAUUUUGUUUUCUUCAUUCCUCACAAAUCAUAUCUUCUUAGCUUCUCAAUGACUCACCUGACAUGCAUAAGGAAUCUCUUUCCUGUAUUGCAUAAAGAUCUUUUCUCUCACAAUCUCUGAUACAAAAAAUCUCUCCGGGUGCUCACUUAUGAUGUCCUGAGGAAGCAUACACAAGAAAAUCAGUACUUUUCCUCUAAUUAUUUAUCAGCAAAACACACCAACCCAUCCACAUUAUAACCCGCUCGAACAAGACCAGUGAUAACAGUAGUUCACGACACCACAUAUCAACAAGAGCACUCCCCACAAAGACCGAGUUCACAAAACCCGAUUUCACCGUAAGUCAACUCCUCACCAAGUCCGCACCCCUUGAGCGCAACGCUGAGAAGAAAAGGGUCCAUGCCGAUACCCAGCUGCACCCACAUGUUUGGAAAACAGCACCAAUGCUUCAGAGGAAUCAGAGACUCCAACGUAGGCUGAGAUCAUAUUGGUCCAUGUGACCUCGUCUCUAUUGGGCAUUUCAUCGAACACUUUCCGGGCAUGUUUGACUUCACCACCUUUGACGAGCUGCUUCAAUUGGGAGUUGAGUUCGGGAAUGUCUACGUGAUUAGGCUGAUGGGUUUUGUGAUAUAGAAGAAGAAGGCUUCUGCAUUGUGGAUGGGCAAAGGUUGAGCUCGUGAAUACCCUUCGAAAAUGAGGUCUGAUCGUUAAAACCGGACGGAACUAGGAAUGAAAACCGGGGUGGGCUACAUUUGCCUUAUGCAGAACAAAAUUUCUGCCCAAUUUCAAUUUAGCUUUGUCAAACCCUGUCCUGAAUCCCUGAUGCCCAAUCUGUUUCUAUUAUUCUAUAUCAGUAUUUUUCCUUAAAGCAUAACAGCAGAACAAAAUAUAGAUUCCAUGCAAAAAAAACAAGCAUUUUAGAGCUAUUUCCUGCAUACAGAAGAAAUAUGCUAAACGGCAGUGAAAAUUCUAAGCCAACACUUGAAUCUUUUUGUUUGUUUGAUGAAACUGCAAAUAUAUUUCUUCAUAGAUAAAACCAUACUGUCAUACAUAAUACAUCCAAUUGGAAAACAGUAGUAAUGAGACCACAAACUCAAAACAUCAUAUGAAAGCACACUGGUAAUUCCCCUACAUUCUAAAUUCCACAGCCAACACUUGACUUAUUAAUUCUGAAGUAUUACAUAUUAGAGAGAAAUAUAACCUAAUUCAUAAUCUCAAUUUGUCAGGAAAGCCCUAAAUAACAUAACCUAAUUCAUAAUCCCAAUUUGUCAACAGAGUUUCUAUUAGCUCAGAAAUAGAAACAAUACAUGGCAUUGUUUAAUCAAUAUAACCUAAUUAAGGCUUGGGCACUUCUCACUGGGAGUACAGCCCACCUAAUUCAUAAUCAAAGGAAGUUCCUAGAAAUUAAGAAGAAGAGUUUGCAAAGCAUAUGGAGAUUAGAGAGAGACAAAAGAUGAGAGGCAAUUUUGUAUUUUGAGCGAUGGUGUGCUAACAUGUACUGAAAUUUUUCUUCCCAAAAAAAUGAGGUGGGCUGGCCCACCCCUGGUUCCGUGCCAAACCAUGUUCUAAAUCAGUUCGUCGUCUCUAGCGGUCAACUAUAGUCUUUGCAUACAUCUUAACACGUGGGCUGCUAUAAACCGACACCAAUUUGGACAGGUGGACGGUCCACAGGAAAAAACAGAGCAAAAAAACCGAAUCCAAAUCAGAGAAACCAAACCCUAGAUCACGAUCCCAGCCACGGCCGAUCACGCACAAACCUUGAGCGAGACCACGGCAGCCCACAUUCUACCAAAACGUAGAGAUCCAAGGCCUUCAACGACCGAGUCAACGGAAGAGAGCCGCCGAGCGAGAGGGAGGCGCUGCGGUUUCGGGAAAGAGACGGAGGCUAUUCGCCGGCGAAGAAGUUUCCCGGCGAAUAGAGAGAGGAAUAGUGAAAGGGAAGAGAGAGAGAGAGAACUAACAGACCGAGUCAACGGCGACUCGACGGCUCUGACGUGUGGACGACAGACCUCCACGAUAGCACAACGGCACGCCAGCCGACUGGUCCAAUUUGUCGUCGGUUUAUAGCAGCCCACUAAAAUUCUACUUGUUACUAAAAUUUAAGGGAUAGGAGUAGAUCUGUAGUUUAGUACAACAUGUACAGUACUUACACUAAACAACUACUUGUGUGCCCUUGCAUUAUGGAAUGAAAAUGCUCUUUCGAAGGAAGGCGCGCGCCAUAUAUAUAUACGGCGCUCUAAUCUAUCUAAGCAGUGCAUAACAACUUCACAACCUCCAAAACAACCACUACCGAUGGCGUCCAAUUCAUGUGAGGCUAGGCUAGAAGAGGCCAUCCCGGAAGCUACCGGAGGCGAUGAAUGUUUGGAAGGCAUGGAGCUUGCUGUAUACUAUGCCGCAAAACAAGGCGACAUUGAUGCCCUUUCAGAACAAAAAUAUAAGGAGCGUCUUCACGAAAUAUUGACUCCAACUGGAAACACAAUCCUCCAUAUCUACAUAGCAUGUGCAACGUCAACCGAUCGCAAAGAAGUGAGCAAUUCAGCCAUCGUCGUCGAGAAGAUUCUUGAUAUGUGUCCACUACUACUGCUGCAGUCCAACAAGAUCGGUGACACUGCAUUACACAUUGCGGCAAGAUACGGACGCACUGCUAUAGUUGAAAUGAUUUUGCAGAUUGGCAAAAAGAAUCGUGACGAAGGAGGAGGAGCUUGGCCGAGAAUCAUCAGCGAAACAAAUAAGGAGGGAAAUACAGCCUUGCACGAGGCCGUGCGGUUUAAUCACUUUGAUGUGGUGACGAAGUUGACCACACAAGAUGUUCAUGAGCAGAUUUUCUACUCGGCUAAUGUCGCCGGAGAGACUCCUCUAUACAUGGCUGCCGAAAGGGGAUAUCGUGAUUUGGUUUUUCAAAUCCUACACAGUUGCACAGAUCCAGCUUACCAAGGCCCCAAUGGUAGAACUGCUCUGCAUGCUGCAGUCAUACGCAACGAUCAAGGUUAGAGACUUUUCUAUUUCUUUUGAGAUUACAUAAAUUGGAAGACCACCACGAGUCCAUGAGUCCAAUUUCACGCUCGCCACUUACUUGAAAGUGUUUUAAACUUUCAUCUCAAAAAGAAAAAGAAAAAUAAGUGUUUUAAACUUACAUUAAUUAAUCCCUAUUUUUGUUGUCCGCCAAUCUUUCUAAUUAAUGAGCAUCGUAUAUUUGUUUUCAUCAUUUAAUAAAGUUUAUUGGUUAUAUUAAUUCACCAUUUAAAAUCUAAAAAAGUUAAAAUGGUAAAAUUAAUAAUGCAAUAGAUACUAUGAUUUGACAAUAUAUAUUGUGUUGAAUUGAAACCUAUAUUUUUAUUAUAAAGAAAUAUUUCUUCAUAUUAUUGCGGCCAUAAAUUUUAAGCCUCAUUGAGACGCCAUAUCACUGCUCAUAACCAAUAUCCCAUGUGCCACGUUAAUUAUAUAUAUUUUUGAUAUUGAUAAUGUUCUUAUUGUAAGUGGUUCCCACUUCUAAGUCACCAAGUAAGUACAUUGUCAAAAAGAAAAAACUUCCAAGUAAGUAAUUCCACACGAAUCACUGGUAUGGUAUUUAUUGUAGUGGAACAGUAAUUUUCUUAUAAAUUUGCCCACUGUUGAAAUGCACUUGGAAAAGAAAUUGUUAACACACGGUAGCUAGAUGUAAGAUGAAAGGGAAUUGUUGCUAGCUAGCUACUUGAGAAGUUCCUGUUAGUUGAUUAUAUCUAUUUAAUUAUUAAUUGUCUUUUUCUUUUUUGUGCAUGGUUAUUAAGAGAUGACGGAGAAGUUACUAGAACGUACAAGGGGUCUAACAAAAGCAGUAGAUGAACAAGGAUGCACUCCGCUUCACCUUGCUGCGUACUCGGGUCACACUUCAAUUGUGGAACUGUUACUCAAACAUGACAGAUCUGCUGCCUACGUUAAGGAGAAAGAUGAGAACAGAACAGCCCUUCACUUUGCAGCGUCCAAAGGACAUGGAGAUGUAAUAGCACAGCUAAUAUACCAUUGUCCUGAUUGUUGCGAAUUGGUGGACAAGAAAUCUCGCAAUUUCCUACACUGCGGUAUCCUCGCCGAUAAAGAAAUCAGUGUAGUGGAUUUCGUGCUAGACGAUCCAUGGCUUAGCAACAUCCUCCUAAAUGGCAAGGACGACAAUGGAGACACACCCCUCCACUACUUUGCUGAUACUAAUCACCUCCGUCUUUCUGGUGGCGCUUUAGCAACAGAUGCUAGAGUUGAUAAGACGGCAUUCAACAAAGCAAAUCAAAACGCUUUUGAUAUCCUUUUUCAAAAUAAAGGAGACUCUUAUUUCUCAACAACACAGGUUAUUUUUUCAUUUUAACUACUUUAAUCAACUAUGUAACCUAGUAAGUUGAAGUUAUUUAUAGUUUUCAAUAAAAAUACUAAUUAAUAAUACAUCUUAUAAUAUGUGUGUGACACAGGGCCAACUGAAAGACAAAUUAAAAAGGAAUGGUGUCAUACCAGGCUGUCGAAAUGUAAGGGACAAAGAGGAGGUACCGGUUGAGAAUAAAGAAAAGGAAAAAUCAAGUGAAGAAGAAUACAGUAAAAUCAAGGAUUCCAAUCUUCUAGUGGCUACACUUAUUGCAACUGUAAGUUUCGCAGCAGGUUUUACGAUGCCUGGUGGUUACCAAAGUGAUAAAGGAUCAGACCAAGGUUUUGCAAUUCUAGCCCGAAGUGCAGCUUUCCAAGCUUUUGUUAUAACAAAUACCAUAGCCAUGACCUUAUCUAGUUGCUCUGUCAUACUGCAUCUUUAUUCGAUUGGGUUUUUAAAGCGGAAAGUGUUUUCUGAGGCGUAUAUUUUUCUAUACGCGUUCACCAUGUUGGCUUUGAUUGCAAUGGUGAUUGCGUUUAUCACGGGCACAUAUGCAGUGUUGGGUCGUUCUUCAUGGCUUGGCAUUACGGUUUGUGUUCUUGGCUUCCUUCUAUUCUUUGUUUUAGCUGAAUUAUUGAUUAAUGAUGAAAGAGCAAUAAUGGAGGACCCUAUACGAUUGUUGCCUUUGAGUCUUUCAUCAGUAUUCUUCUUUUGGCUGGGGAUGAAGAUGUUUUAUGGUAUCCGCAAAUUAUAUUACAAAUGUCUCUGGCUGGUCUCCCCUGCAUCAAAAGGAAAGCGGUCAAAGCUCAUGGUUGCUACCCGUAGUACUUCCCUACUUCGUUAUGAGAUGGACAGACAAAUGAUUGUAUACAAUCGAUGUUAGGAAAGGAAAACUAUGUUAUAUUGGUAUGUAAUAUGCAAAGUCGUUAAUUACUUUGUUUUUCACAAGAAGAACAAGUUGUUUAUUUAUUUGAAUCUGAAAUAACAAACAAAUUUUAUCUUUUCCGGCGGAUUGUCAGGUACAAGUUAAUAUCCUUCUUGCUCAUGAGUUCUUUCACUCCCUGCAAAAUUAUGAGCUUAGCUUAAAACUUGUACAUGAAUAAAGCAUGAUAGAGUGGAGAUAUGGGCAUGCUUGAGAUAUGUGGCAUGCACUGAAAGUGAGACUGCCCAACUAUCUCGAGCAUCCCCACGCGUUCUUGCAAUUACAAAACCUUGGCCUUGGGAAAAUGCCACCAAAUGAGAUUACAACUAUAUCCUACUUCACUAAUCAAAGCAUAUCUGUGCGUUAAUCAACAGCAUCAAACCAAUUUCAAGAGACAACAUACAAUCAUGUAACUUGAGUGGUACAGCCAUCGUCACUUAGGUUUUCCAAUGGCUAUGAACAAGCAUCAUAAUGCUUGAAUUUGACCCCCAUACCCAUAAUUCUUCAAGAGCCCCUCAUCUUGCCGCCAAUUCUCUUUAACCUUCACCUCAACCUGUCAAAAGAAGGGACUUAAAAGAAUGAGCAAGUCUAGAAAAACUAUCAGAAUUAAAACAUAAUAAUUUGAACAGUGGUCAUGGGAUGAUGUGGCACCUCUAGAAAAACUUUUUUCUGUAAGAAAUCUUCUAUAUCAAGCCGUGAAGCUGUUGCAAGUAGUUUCAAAGCUCUCCCAUCCUACACCGGUUCAGUAUAGACAAUCAGUAAGCGAACUUUUGCUUCCAACUGUGAUGGCACAUCAAAGCUCUAUAGUUUCGCAAGAUACAUGCCUUUACGCACACAUGUUCCAGAGUAAGUCUUUGAUCAAGGUAUAACAGAGAUGUAUCUAUAGUGUGCAAAGCGCAUAUGAGCAUGUUAUUCCGUAAUAGCUAAUAAGUUUACAACCCUCCUAUAGCAAAAGGCUUCCAAAACUAAUAAUAAGAGCACUCUAUACAUCAGAUAGCCACAAAUUUCUAUCAAGCAAACCAACAAAUCCACAAUUAAGGAUUACUUACUUUUCCGAUAAGGAUGAUUUUCUGUGAAUUUUUCUCAACAACGAUUUCCACUUGUAUAAAAUCUUUUGCAGCUGGCCUACUUUUGUAGCUCACGACAUUCACCUGGAUGUUAAACCAAGUGAGGGUAAAGAUUAAAGCUACUAGAGAUACUACCAUCUUCUUUCCUUUAAUAUUUUGUUUUCUUCAUUCCUCACAAAUCAUAUCUUCUUAGCUUCUCAAUGACUCACCUGACAUGCAUAAGGAAUCUCUUUCCUGUAUUGCAUAAAGAUCUUUUCUCUCACAAUCUCUGAUACAAAAAAUCUCUCCGGGUGCUCACUUACGAUGUCCUGAGGAAGCAUACACAAGAAAAUCAGUACUUUUCCUCUGCAUUAUAUCACUUUCUCCCUCAAAUUUAAUUUUUACACUGUAUAAUUAUUUAUCUAAGACAUUUAUAUGAACACCCUACCCACCUCCCCAUCCUUUCACUACUUGAGCAGAUAAAAGGGUUCAUACUCUAGGAUAAAUCCAUUUCCUACAAUCACAAGUUUGCAGUUAAGAAAGAAAGGGAUAACAGGAUAAUGUGUAGAUAACUGAACUAGACAAGAAAGUUGGUGAUAGAGUUUUACAAAUAUCAAUUUAACUUAACCCCUCUGUUCAAACUUCAAACAUGAAAAAAGCAAAGUUGGAUAUUUGAAAGUUGUUAUUUCACUGGGAUACUGAGCAUGAAACUUUCCACACAUGCUCAAGGAACAGUUUCUCCAAAGUCAAACAGUAAUCGAGUUGUCUUCAGAAUUUAUUGAAGUUACUUGCAUAUAUCUAUUUUUGUAAUCCAUAACCCACAUUGUCCCUACUGGCCAAUUGGUGUUAAGGUAUUCAUACCUUUCUGCAAUUUCUAAUCUUACCAGUCAGAUAAACCAAGAUAAAAGGCUUGCAUAAAUAAGACAGGAACUACAAAAGUUCACUUCCCAAAAGUAAAAGAAAAGCCUAGAGCCCAAAACCUGACACUGUGAGUACCUUUGGAUAGUAAGCUGGGCCGAAGGGAAGUUUUGACAAUAUCCACUGCUUCACGUCUUCCACUCCCUGACCGUGUUUGGCACUCACUGGUAUGACCUCAUCAACAUUUGUAAACUUCUCAUACCACUGUAAAAUGUGAUACGUACUUAGUCUUAAAAACUCUACUGGAAUAACAAGAUCCAGAAUUACGUGCUAACAUAGAUAUCAACAAACAAUUACUAACCUCUACUUUCUUUGCAAUUUCACCUGGCUUUAUCAAAUCUUUCUUAUUCAUGACCAGCAAAGUCGGAGGCAGGCUAUCUGUCUGGUUACCCACACCUUCUUCCACCACUUCAUUAAUCUACCAAAAUAAGAGAGUGAUCUUAGGACAAGAGCACAAACUUUAACAUGAGAAACCUACAAAUGAAGAAGCAUACAUUUUCAGGCACUUUACAUGCAUCAACAAGAACAAGUACACAAUCCGCGUUAAUAACAGCGCUGCGCACGUUCUUCAUCAUCAUCGUAUCCAAUUUGUGCAUUUUCUUCUCAAUAACACCUGGUGUGUCAUAAAGUAUCAUCUGCAACCCAAUCCAUAAGUAAGAAACAGACGCAAUCGGUGAAAAUUCAGAAAACAUCCAGAAACUAUUGGUUCCAACAGAAACAUUUGACAAGCGGCAACUACAGAAGAAGCAGUUCUUAUUAACCAAUUAUCGAGUUCAAACACCCCCAACCGUCUUCCAUUUUUUGAAACAUUAGCAUAUGAACCAUUUACACUAUUCUCUUUUACCAAUUUAAACUCCACAUGUUACCGUAACAUUGUUUCCGAAAACAAAGAUAAUGACAGUAAUUUCAGCUAACAAUUCGAAAAUCAAACCUGAUAGUCUGAGCCAGAACAUAUACCAAGAAUUCUAUGCCUCGUAGUUUGCGGCUUAUCAGUAACAAUUGACAAUUUCUGACCCACCAUUUGGUUUGAGAGAGUGCUCUUUCCCACAUUGGGCUUCCCCAGAACAGCCACAUACCCUGCAUCAAUUUUACUCAACGGUCAAAAUUCAAAGUAAAAAAAGCUGAUAAACUGGUUAAAAUCAAAGAGAGAUUUUACCACUCCUAUGGUUAGGGUCAGUAGCAUAGUCAAGCUCCUCCAGCUCGUAGUCAUCUAGCAAAGCCAUGUUCCUGUCCGGCUUCUCACUCAGAGACAACAGCGCGGAGUCUUCGUCGGAAUAGGAGUACUCCGAGUCGUCUUCUUCUUGCUCGGCGAUCCAGAGCGGUGGUUUUGCGGCGGAGGAGAGUUUCCACGUGGCGAUUGUGGUUGGAAUUCUGGCGUGGAAUUUGGGUUUUCUAGUGGGACGAGGGAAGCGGUUGUUGUGGUGGUGGUGGUUUUGGGUAGUGAGGAAUUUGGAAUUGGAGUAAUGGGAGAGGGAAUAGUCUCUGGGGAGAGUUGCGGACCUGUGCAGAGCUAGCUCCAUUUUUGGAGCGCUUCAGUGUUUUCUGAUGAGUCUCUUCAGCCCUGUUUUGGAUAAACCUCUACCCCACGACGUCGUUUUAGGAGUUGUUAUUUUCCCUCUCUAUCAUAUUAUAUUGAAAUUUUUAAAAAAAAAAAAAUCAAAACUUGUUAACUUACACCCCGCACCCACGUAGCUAGGUAGGUGAACGAGAUUUGAACCUAUUACCUCAAUAUUAUCGGUUAAAUUAACUAACCAACUAAGCAACAUGUCACCAAAAAUCAUUUUUAGGCUACAACUUUCUCAGUAUGACUUGUUAUGGUGAGUUGAACGGUGGAUGGAGUUGCAAUGGUGUCAUGCCGACUGGAACCAGGCAAGGGAUAGGGAAGAGGUGUGUGGCAAGUCGUUUUUAGUUUCUUGUUUUGUAAGGUUUUGGUUUGGUUUGUUUGGUCAAUUGUUCGUCCCUACUCUGCUGAGCUGAGGUUAGGUCAAGUUGAGGUGCCAUGGAAGUUGUUAUUCCUAGGGAGAAAUUGGUUUAGUUUCGAUGUUAAUCUUUUGGUCAAUGUGCUGACGAGCGAUCCUUGCACAAGUAUGUUUGGGACACAAUGUGGAAGAUGGUCUCGAUUUAUUUGACAGUUGUCUACGAGGAGGUAUCAAGAUUCUCUGUAGCCCGAGAAUAUAAAUAGUUAAGGGUUUGGUCCUUUUGGCUCAUGAAAUAUAUAAUUCGGUUAGACACCGCUCAUUUAAUGUCAUAUAAAUCUUACCUGAUUCAAUAAAGGUUUCUUGUUCUAAAAGAAAAUGAAAGAUAACAUAAAGGAAAACGGUUUGCGCCAUCUGCUUUACCAAAAUUGAUACUUACAUUUUUGAUAGUUUCAUAUAACAAAUUCUAGUUAACUCAUGAUCUUAAUUACAUUGUAAAACUAAAAUUUGUAUAACAUAUCAAAAAUUCAGGACCUUUGAAGAUCUGGGAGUAGGGAUAAGGACAAGUGAGCACAACAGCAGUUUUCUAACAGAUUUUAAUUGAGUUUCACCUUCAAAUUUUGGUAGUUUUGACAAACAAAAUGACUUUUGAGAAACCUUUGUUGGUAUACUUGAUAAACUAGAGGCUCAAUGAAAUAAUCCAUGCAGAGAACACAAACAACAGAAGGAAUGACAGGCAGAAAACUUGAAGAUUUACUGAAAAAUACACUUGAAUAAUUGAGAGACACAUCAAAGGCAAGUUUACAUGCUAGGAGAAGAGGUACUGAACACAAUGAGUAUAUAUAACAACAGAGAUACAGGAAAAAAAAAAACAAAUAUAUUACAACACCAAUUGGCUAUUCGUAACCCAGGUAGCUAACUAAUUCCACUCUAAAAACAAGAGGUACCCUUAGAACAUCUAGCUUCUUCACUUGUUUCAGCCAUGAUUCGGCUCCAACAGGGUCAGUUGUUCUAGAAAAAUUAGGAGGAUUUAGUCAUUGGAACCUUGAGGUGAUUCACUCUCCUAUCAAGUUGUUGCUUCUCUUGGUCAUCACAGUAACCCUCAUCAGAACUUGAAGCAUUUGACAUCGUCAGGGACUCAGGGUCAGAAGAUGCAUAGCAAAACAUGGUUUCAUACUAACAAAAAAGUAACUAGACUAUCAAAACUCCUAGACAACCUCAGUAGAUCUGCUCCCUGGCCUCUAAUACCAUUUUAAGUCGCACUUGACACCCCAAGUUAUGGGGUGAGACAACACCCCAAGCGAAACUUUCUCAAGUUAUUGCCAAAAGAGUCCAUAUUGUAGAUGAAAAUAAACUGUCUACCGAAUUAGCAUAUUAUCCCUCCGUGUAGAUUAGUGUCAUAGCCAUCUAGGAAACAGAAAACCAGUUUUCAACAUGCAUCACAGUUGAUUUGCAAAGUUUUCAUCUUAUAGGUCCAUGUAUUCAGGAACUAUCAGUUAG